rnacentral:rRNA from 1 species
GCUGGCGGCCUAUCAGCUUGUUGGUGAGGUAAUGGCUCACCAAGGCGAGGAUGGGUAGCCGGCCUGAGAGGGCGACCGGCCACACCGGGAUUGAGACACGGCCCAGACUCCUACGGGAGGCAGCAGUGGGGAAUAUUGCACAAUGGGCGAAAGCCUGAUGCAGCAACGCCGCGUGAGGGAUGACGGCCUUCGGGUUGUAAACCUCUUUCAGUAGGGAAGAAGCGAAAGUGACGGUACCUACAGAAGAAGCACCGGCUAACUACGUGCCAGCAGCCGCGGUAAUACGUAGGGUGCGAGCGUUGUCCGGAAUUAUUGGGCGUAAAGAGCUGGUAGGCGGUUUGUCGCGUCUGCUGUGAAAAUCCGGGGCUCAACCCCGGACUUGCAGUGGGUACGGGCAGACUAGAGGGUGGUAGGGGAGACUGGAAUUCCUGGUGUAGCGGUGAAAUGCGCAGAUAUCAGGAGGAACACCGAGUGGCGAAGCAGGUCUCUG